GAGAAGAACGUAGCGAAAUGCGAUAAGUAAUGUGAAUUGCAGAAUUCAGUGAAUCAUCGAAUCUUUGAACGCACAUUGCGCCCAUUAGCAUUCUAGUGGGCAUGCCUGUUCGAGCGUCAUUUCAACCCUUAAGCCCUGUUGCUUAGCGUUGGGAGCCUACAGUACUGUAGCUCCCCAAAGUUAGUGGCGGAGUCGGUUUCACACUCUAGACGUAGUAAUUUUUUCUCGUCUGUAGUUGAGCCGGUCCCCUGCCGUAAAACACCCAAUUUAUCAAGGUUGACCUCGGAUCAGGUAGGAAUACCCGCUGAACUUAAGCAUAUCAAUAAGCGGAGGA
rnacentral:misc_RNA from 1 species